rnacentral:rRNA from 1 species
UGCAGAAUCCCGCGAACCAUCGAGUCUUUGAACGCAAGUUGCGCCCGAGGCCAUUCGGCCGAGGGCACGCCUGCCUGGGCGUCACGCAAAACACGCUCCCACCCCCUCAUCGGGGAGCGGGACGCGGCAUGUGGCCCCCCGUCGCGCAAGGGGCGGUGGGCCGAAGAUAUGGCUGCCGGCGUAUCGUGCUGGACACAGCGCGUGGUGGGCGACCUCGCUUUACUUCCGCAGUGCAUCCGGCGCGUAGCCGACAUGAUGGCCUUGAAGGACCCUAUGAACGGUGCGCACGACGCUCCGACCGCGACCCCAGGUCAGGCGGGACUACCCGCUGAAUUUAAGCAUAUAAAUAAGCGGAGGAGAAGAAACUUACAAGGAUUCCCCUAGUAACGGCGAGCGAACCGGGAACAGCCCAGCUUGAGAAUCGGGUGGCCGUGCUG